UACGUAGGGUGCAAGCGUUGUCCGGAAUUAUUGGGCGUAAAGAGCUUGUAGGUGGCCUGUCGCGUCGGCUGUGAAAACUCGGGGCUCAACUCCGAGCUUGCAGUCGAUACGGGCAGGCUAGAGUUCGGCAGGGGAGACUGGAAUUCCUGGUGUAGCGGUGAAAUGCGCAGAUAUCAGGAGGAACACCGGUGGCGAAGGCGGAUCUCUGGGCCAUUACUGACGCUGAGGAGCGAAAGCGUGGGGAGCGAACAGG
rnacentral:rRNA from 1 species